rnacentral:rRNA from 1 species
GGACGGGAAUAACCUCGGGAAACUGAGUAUAAUGCCCGAUAGAACACUAUACCUGGAAUGGUUUGUGUUCCAAAUGAUUUAUUGCCAUAGGAUGGGACUGCGGCCUAUCAGUUUGUUGGUGAGGUAAUGGCCCACCAAGACUAUUACAGGUACGGGCUCUGAGAGGAGUGGCCCGGAGAUGGGUACUGAGACACGGACCCAGGCCCUAUGGGGCGCAGCAGGCGAGAAAACUUUGCAAUGUGCGAAAGCACGACAAGGUUAAUCCGAGUGGUUUCUGCUAAAGGAACCUUUUGACAGUCCUAGAAACACUGUUGAAUAAGGGGUGGGCAAGUUCUGGUGUCAGCCGCCGCGGUAAAACCAGCACCUCAAGUGGUCAGGAUGAUUAUUGGGCCUAAAGCAUCCGUAGCCGGCUCUGUAAGUUUUCGGUUAAAUCUGUACGCUCAACGUACAGGCUGCUGGGAAUACUGCAGGGCUAGGGAGUGGGAGAGGUAGACGGUACUCGGUAGGAAGUGGUAAAAUGCUUUGAUCUAUCGAUGACCACCUGUGGCGAAGGCGGUCUACCAGAACACGUCCGACGGUGAGGGAUGAAAGCUGGGGGAGCAAACCGGAUUAGAUACCCGGGUAGUCCCAGCUGUAAACUAUGCAAACUCAAUGAUGCAUUGACUUGUGGUCAAUGCAGUGUUGCAGGGAAGCCGUUAAGUUUGCCGCCUGGGAAGUACGUACGCAAGUAUGAAACUUAAA